UACAGGGGGGGCAAGCGUUGUUCGGAAUUACUGGGCGUAAAGGGCGCGUAGGCGGCCUGCUAAGUCGAACGUGAAAUCCCUGGGCUCAACCCAGGAACUGCGUCCGAUACUGGUUGGCUUGAAUCCGGGAGAGGGAUGUGGAAUUCCAGGUGUAGCGGUGAAAUGCGUAGAUAUCUGGAGGAACACCGGUGGCGAAGGCGACAUCCUGGACCGGCAUUGACGCUGAGGCGCGAAAGCCAGGGGAGCAAACGGG
rnacentral:rRNA from 1 species